rnacentral:tRNA from 8 species
CGGGGAUUAGUGUAGCGGCAACACGCAUGGUUCGGGUCCAUGAGAUGGUGGGUUCAACUCCCACAUCCCCGACGA